rnacentral:rRNA from 1 species
AACGGCCGUACCAUGCUGAAUAUACCGGUUCUCGUUAAAUAACCGAAGUUAAGCAUCAUUGGGCGCGGUCAGUACUUGGGUGGGUGACCACCUGGGAACACUGCGUGCCGUU